AGGAGCAACAGCCCCAGUGGCGGGGCCAGCUCUGGAAACCUGGAUUCAGCCCCCGCAGUAACUCCAGAGCUCUCCGUCUGCAGGGCCUGGAGGCUCCGGGGCGGG
rnacentral:pre_miRNA from 1 species